AUUUGGUUUGUGGAUGUGUUUAACAGAGACAUUUAAAUUCAUAUAUAAUCAGAACUGAGAGAGUCUAAAAAAAUCAAAUUAUCUAAUAUUUGACUAUUUAUAUUAUUUAUAAAUGCAUACAUAUAUAUGUCCUGUACAGAUCUUUUCCAGGAUACUUCAGAUCAAACUUUAGUUGAGGUAAAAAGAGGUGUUUAACUUCCACCAAGCAGCCUCCGAGAACAACCAGCAAGACCAUUACUCUCAUUUUUUAUCUGCUUCCAAAAAACACACCCUACACACCUUUGCCAGUUGAGGAGCUUGAACUCCUUCAAGCUGGCAUGAGAAGACAAACGGUGUCGCUGCCUGACGACAGUGACCAUGCAGAGAUUUCAAAGGCCCUGGCUGAAACAUUCCCAAAAAUGGAAGAUCUUUAUGGGGGAUGGCUCUUGCAUAAAGCAACAGGUUGAACAUGUGGCUGAUGCACAGUCUCUGAUGUUGCUGGCUGAUGAAGUUAUAAACUGUGGAUACACAAGCCAGAUCAAGCUGGAUAAUAAACAAAACAUCAUUCGACUGAUUCCAAUGCUUCAGCAAGUGAGAAAGGCCAUGGAACUGUAUGGUCUGCUCAGUCAGAUGGCUGCAAACCCUGAAGCUUGCCACACACUCUUUGUUCCUGGGAAGAUCAUCAAACCAGAUGCUGAUUUCAUAAUGAUGAACUGCCGACCACAGCUCAGUGAAAAGGGGACAUCUCAGGAGAGAACUGAGAGAUUAUAAACUUCAUGCAAGAUUUUUGCCAGGAGCUUGAAAUAUCAGGUACUAUGCUAUACAGGACUGUAGGCAAGUAACUAAUAAUGAGUACAGUUGAGGUAUCCAGUAGGUCUGUUAUGCUGUUAUGCCACUUGUCCAAUUUUUUUUUUAAUUUACUUAUUUCGAACAUGAAAUUAACAGACAGCCGAUGCAGCUUAUACAAAAUAAAACCGCAGCUAAAACAAGGCAUCACAUAAAUUUACAAAUCAUACAUGUUCGAAAGGGAGUGGGAAGAAGACAGAACUUAUU